AAAUUAGUAGCUAAGUGGUAGAGUGGUCCUCUGUUAAAUGAUUGGUCGUAAGUUUGAAUCCUAUUAAUAUUU
rfam:Arabis alpina cultivar Pajares Aa.chr8_contig_2484, whole genome shotgun sequence.